ensembl:lncRNA
ACUCUCCUCAGACCACACUGGUCUCCUUCCAGUUCCCAUUUUCGAGGGCUGCCUUGACCUCAGGAUCUUUGCUCUUCCUCCUCACUUUUCCCUUAAUACUUUUCCCCCAAAUACUCACAUGGCUUGCUCCUUCAUUUCCUUAAGUCUCUGCUCAAAUGUCCCUUCUCAGUGAGGCCUUCCCUGACCACUCCAUUUAAAAUUGCAGUGACCUGACCUCCACACCUGCUCUGGCAUCCCCACCACAUCCUGCUUCCCUGCUUAAUAUUUUUCAUAGCACUUACCCCUCCUAGUCUGUGAUAUAAUUUAUUUAUUUAUUUUGUUCAUUGUCUGUCCUCUCCCACUACCACCAUCACCACCACUAUAACGGUAAAUUCUGUAAGUCAGGAAGUUUUGUCUGUAUUAGUCAUUGAUGCUCAGCACCUAAAAGAGUAUCAGGCACAGUCAGCCUCGGACUGCAGCCUGCAAGGCUCUUCUGUCCAUGGGAUUCUCCAAGCAAGAACAUUGGAGUAGGUUACCAUGCCCUCCUCCAGGGGAUCUUCCUGACCCAGGGGUCGAACCUGCAUCUCUAAAGUCUCCUGCGUUGCUGCUUGUGCUGUUCUUCAGAGGCUGCUGCUGCUGCUGCUAAGUCACUUCAGUCGUGUCCGAUUCUGUGCAACCCCAUAGACAGCAGCCAACCAGGCUCCCCCGUCCCUGGGAUUCUCCAGGAUCCACUCAAGGUUGACUUUUGGCCCCUAUGUGACUUUGGCUGGUUUCCUGACCUGGAUCCUGUGCCUCAGUUCCCACCUCUGGCAGAUACACCCUUAGCCAGGAGAUCCUUGUCCACCCAUGGAGUUGUUAUGAGGAACCUGAGGCAUGGCAUGAUUAAGUAGCCCAAAGGUACUCAAUUGGGAAGUGACAGAGCCAUAG